rnacentral:rRNA from 1 species
GUGGGGAAUCUUGCGCAAUGGGCGAAAGCCUGACGCAGCCAUGCCGCGUGGAUGAUGAAGGUCUUAGGAUUGUAAAAUCCUUUCACCGGUGAAGAUAAUGACUGUAGCCGGAGAAGAAGCACCGGCUAACUUCGUGCCAGCAGCCGCGGUAAUACGAAGGGGGCUAGCGUUGCUCGGAACUACUGGGCGUAAAGGGAGCGUAGGCGGACAUUUAAGUCAGGGGUGAAAUCCCGUGGCUCAACCUCGGAACUGCCUUUGAUACUGGGUGUCUUGAGUGUGAGAGAGUUGAGUGGAACUCCGAGGGUAGGGGUGAAUUUGGUAGAUAUUCGGAAGAACACCAGUGGCGAAGGCGACUCACUGGCUCAUUACUGACGCUGGGGCUCGAAAGCGUGGGGAGCAAACAGGAUUAGAUACCCGGGUAGUCC